rnacentral:rRNA from 1 species
AUUGAACGCUGGCGGCAUGCCUUACACAUGCAAGUCGAACGGCAGCGGGGACUUCGGUCCGCCGGCGAGUGGCGAACGGGUGAGUAAUAUAUCGGAACGUACCUUUCAGUGGGGGAUAACGUAGCGAAAGUUACGCUAAUACUGCAUAUUCUGUGAGCAGGAAAGCAGGGGAUCGCAAGACCUUGCGCUGAUUGAGCGGCCGAUAUCAGAUUAGCUAGUUGGUGAGGUAAAGGCUCACCAAGGCGACGAUCUGUAGCGGGUCUGAGAUGAUGAUCCGCCACACUGGGACUGAGACACGGCCCAGACUCCUACGGGAGGCAGCAGUGGGGAAUUUUGGACAAUGGGGGCAACCCUGAUCCAGCCAUGCCGCGUGAGUGAAGAAGGCCUUCGGGUUGUAAAGCUCUUUCGGCCGGGAAGAAAUCGCGCAGGCUAAUACCCUGUGUGGAUGACGGUACCGGAAUAAGAAGCACCGGCUAACUACGUGCCAGCCGCCGCCGUAA